rnacentral:rRNA from 1 species
UACGUAGGUGGCAAGCGUUGUCCGGAUUUACUGGGCGUAAAGAGCGCGCAGGCGGUCGUCCAAGUCGCGUGUGAAAGCCCCCGGCUCAACUGGGGAGGGUCACGCGAUACUGGUCGACUCGAAGGCAGGAGAGGGUAGUGGAAUUCCCGGUGUAGUGGUGAAAUGCGUAGAUAUCGGGGAGGAACACCAGUGGCGAAGGCGACUACCUGGCCUGUUCUUGACGCUGAGGUGCGAAAGCGUGGGGAGCAACAGG